AUGCUGUAAAAGCCUCCCUGUCAGUCUCUGCAGCAUCUCACUCCUGGAAUCAUUAUGCCUCUCUGCUACAACUUUAUAACCCAUCUGUGCUUCUUCCAAAGCACUGACCACAGCCGCCGCCUCCUGUAGGCACUCUUAGCUCGCCUCUGCUCUCAGUCUCUCUCAGCGGUAAUGUGUCAUAUAAUUCAAAAUGACAGUGCGCUCCACUGAUCUGCCAGCUCUUCUCCACAGCCUUCGUGGGACCCCUCCCCAGACAGAAAGGAUUCCUUCCCUCUUGGCCUCCGGUUGGGCACAGGGGCUGCCCUGGGGAGUGGAAGGGGCCACGGACUUCAGAGUUAGCAAGCUCUGCAUCCCCACCACCUUGCUGUGAAUACCUGGCAACCUCUCUGAGCCUCGGUUUCCUUAUCCGUAAAAGGAACUAAUUCCUCCCUGAUUUGCAGGGUUCUUUUGAAGAUUAAGCACCAUGAAAUGCACAACAUCUGACCGACAGAGAGAUUCAAAGAAGAGCUGUGAAACGGUUUGUUGCACUUGUUUUCCCGUCCCCUCUGCUAGAGUCUAAGUUUCUGGAUGAUGGUGACGGCGCCUGAUUCACCCACCUUUACAAGCCCAGCACCCAGCACCAUGGAGAGCACAUUCUUUGAGUCACUGAAUAACGAUUACUUCAAACAAGAUCAUAGUUUAAACUCUACAGAAAGAGUUGUACACUGAGGGUGAUAACCGUCCUGUCAAAACAGUUGGCGUACUUCCCCCGGGGACAAACUACUUGAAAGAAAAAUAAAGAGAAAGAAAGACUCCUCACAUGCAAGGACGACAGAGCAGGUCAAGGGACCCCGAGCUGAGCAGAGUGGCCAGGUGACAGCUCCCCAAGCCGGUGCCACUGAGGAAGGAACAGCACUGCGCAAAAGGCGUGCACAUCGAAAGGGAGGAAAUCAUUUGUUUUUGUGUAACUGGGAUCCUGAUUUGUAAAGUAAUGCCCACCUAGCGAUCUGAAACCAAUUACUUCUUAGAAAAACUAGCACAGAGCAAACAGCUACUGGGAGGAGACCUCAGACUCACGUCCUAAUGAAACACUUGGCCUUCUCAUUAAAAAUAAAUGUCUACAUUGCUUC